GUUGCUAGGCACUGCUGGACUUUCUAUUAAGGGUGAAAAAGGCAGCCCUGGUGAGAGGGGUCCUCCCGGAGUGGGCAGUGGGGUAGCUGCUAAAGGAGAUGCUGGUGAAC